CCGCCCUGCUCUCUACUGCAGUCCAGAUUUAUAAGAGCCACAGAUCCUCGGCACUGGUUUGGCACAAGACUUCCCAAGCAGGACAUGUUACCCACAAAAUUUAGCCAGUAUCCAGGGCUGCUCACAGCUUUGCUUCUUGUGAGAUUUAACGAAGAUGAUGGUCUUAAAAUGGUUUUACCACAAGAAAACUUCCCCACAAGGAAUAUACCUGUUGUCUUCCCCUGAGGCCUCACACUGCCACUCUGAGGAGUUUACAACUAAAUGAUAGAUCCAGAGGGUUUACCACAGAUCAUGGGGAGACAAUACAGAUUUGAUUAAAGAAGAGGUUGUCAGCCAAUAUAUAACCCAACGGGUAGACUGAUGGGCUAUAAACUACACUGAAUGUAUCCUCACCUGAUGAAAGGUCUUGAGAUGGCAAGGAUGGUCCGGAUGAACCAUGUUGGCAUCUCUUCAGCCAGCUGAUGCCGGGCAUCUUCCUGCGAGGAGUUGCUCCGUUCAGGUACGGCCUGAUGACCUGCAUGUCAAUCCGCUGCUCCUGGUCACCGAUGAUCACUGUUCGCCACAGACGACCAGAUGAGUCUCUCUCCUCUUCACUUUCACCUGGAAGACGCUUGGCAGUGGCCACAGGAGUGUCAUCUAGACAAAGUUGACAGUUGGCAGCAAUACGUGACUGGACAGGCAAAGGGGCAGAGGCAGGACUCAAACCAAGGACACUGCAGCUCGUUGCCAUUGUUGAUAAACUCCAGCGAGUCUGUCUCAUCAGGAGUCUCGAUGUCAUCUACGUUGAUGUCCAGGUCGUCGGGCGUUUCCAGGAAGUCGUCAGAGAGCACCGACCCCUCGCUCUGAUCCAGGGAGAGGUUCAUGUUGGGGGCGACCAGAGUGCGACGCUUACGCUGGGCCAUGGACUCGCCCACAUUCAGAGUAGUGGGAGGAUCUGGACAGGUGGGACAGGAAAGUUUAAAUACUGAAUAUAUACUGAAUAUAGUAAAAAAAAAUAUAUAUUUAUAUAGUAAAAAAAAAAAAUUUAAUGCUGUGUAUUUAUUCCACUUACUGGUUCUGUUGUCAGUGAGGCCACAUGAUGAAUCCACAUCUCCAUCCUCUGGUAGUGGCCUGUAUAUACGGCAUAAAUACAAUGAUAACGGAAACAGAAUGAAUCAAAAAUGAAAUGUCAUUGACACACAUAGUUUCUCUUUGGCCUGUUGUUUCCCUGCUACCAAGUUAAUGAUUGUUUUGGUCUUUUUUAUAAUUGCAAGUUAUAAGCAUUAACAUAUGAAAUGAAUUGCUAUUAUAAAAAACUGAAAUAAACUACAAAGUAUGAGCAUUUGUUCAUAGCAUUCAUGCUCUUAGCCUUUUGUUUUUGAAGUGUCAUUAUUGUGAUUUAACUACAGUGUGUCCUUGGAAACAAUAUGUGUUGUUUGAGAGGCAACACCAGUAAUUACCAACUCCCCUCUGACAUUAUAAUAAGACAGCUGAACCCUCAGUGCUGGGGGACAAGAAGGCUAGAUUAUACUAGAUCGCACCCAUACGAACACACACACACACACACACACACACACACACACACACACACUGUACACAGACAGAAAAAGACAAAGACAUUAACACAGACAUGCAUGCAUAGACAAACACACCCUAAAACACCACAAGUAUGGGCUAGCUGAUGGAGCUGCUGGAAUAAUUGCUGUUAUUAAGUUGUCAGCAGCUUUGUAGAGGUAGUUAAAGACAGCAGCAACAGAUACUCAAGAGUGGAUUAAAUAGUGGGGAGGAGAAGAACGAUUUGAAGUGUAAACACAUUCAUAAACGUUCCUCUAUAGGACUUUAAACUGUCUGCAACUAUAUUCAUUGUUCUACAUACAGAAAUAACAACUGUGCACACACAUGGUUGAGAUCAAAAACAUUUAAUUUGUCUUUUUUUCCUCUGCUAUUUGUAUUGUAUAAGCUUUAGCCAACUGAGCUACCAGGAUACCUUUGUUAUAUUAUUAUAUCUUAUAAAUACCGAGAUGACUUGCAGCAGAUAAAUAGUCAACAUGGACAAUACAAUGUAAUAAAUAUGUUGUGAAUACACUGGA